rnacentral:rRNA from 1 species
CAGCCGCGGUAAUACGGAGGGUGCAAGCGUUAUCCGGAUUUAUUGGGUUUAAAGGGUCCGUAGGCGGAUCUGUAAGUCAGUGGUGAAAUCUCACAGCUUAACUGUGAAACUGCCAUUGAUACUGCAGGUCUUGAGUGUUGUUGAAGUAGCUGGAAUAAGUAGUGUAGCGGUGAAAUGCAUAGAUAUUACUUAGAACACCAAUUGCGAAGGCAGGUUACUAAGCAACAACUGACGCUGAUGGACGAAAGCGUGGGGAGCGAACAGGAUUAGAUACCCUGGUAGUCCACGCCGUAAACGAUGCUAACUCGUUUUUGGUUUUUCGGAAUCAGAGACUAAGCGAAAGUGAUAAGUUAGCCACCUGGGGAGUACGUUCGCAAGAAUGAAACUCAAAGGAAUUGACGGGGGCCCGCACAAGCGGUGGAUUAUGUGGUUUAAUUCGAUGAUACGCGAGGAACCUUACCAAGGCUUAAAUGGGAAAUGACAGGUUUAGAAAUAGACUUUUCUUCGGACAUUUUUCAAGGUGCUGCAUGGUUGUCGUCAGCUCGUGCCGUGAGGUGUUAGGUUAAGUCCUGCAACGAGCGCAACCCCUGUCACUAGUUGCCAUCAUUAAGUUGGGGACUCUAGUGAGACUGCCUACGCAAGUAGAGAGGAAGGUGGGGAUGACGUCAAAUCAUCACGGCCCUUACGCCUUGGGCCACACACGUAAUACAAUGGCCGGUACAGAGGGCAGCUACACAGCGAUGUGAUGCAAAUCUCGAAAGCCGGUCUCAGUUCGGAUUGGAGUCUGCAACUCGACUCUAUGAAGCUGGAAUCGCUAGUAAUCGCGCAUCAGCCAUGGCGCGGUGAAUACGUUCCCGGGCCUUGC